GAUGAACGCUGGCGGCGUGCCUAAUACAUGCAAGUCGAGCGAACAGACGCUGCGCUUGCUCCUCUGACGUUAGCGGCGGACGUGUGAGUAACACGUGGAUACCCUCCCUAUAAUACUGGUAUCACUUCGGGAAACCGGAUCUAAUACCGUAUAAUCUCUUGAACCGCAUUGUUCAAUAGUAAAAUACGGUUUUUCUGUCACUUCUAGCUGCAUCCGCGCUGCAUUAGAUAGUUGUUAAGUUAACGGCCUACCACGGCAACGAUGCGUAGCCGAACUGAGAGGGUGAUAGGCCACACUGGAACUGGAACACGGUCAAGACUCCUAAGGGAGGCAGCAGUAGGGAAUGUGCCGCAAUGGGCGAAAGCCUGACGGAGCAACGCCGCGUGAGUGAUGAAGGUCUUCGGAUCGUAAAAAUCUGUUAUGAGGGAAGAACAAAUGUGUAAGUAAAUAUGCACGUAUUGACGGUACCUAAUAAGAAAGCAACGGCUAACUACGUG
rnacentral:rRNA from 1 species